AUUGAACGCUGGCGGCAGGCCUAACACAUGCCAGUCGAGCGGAUGAAGGGAGCUUGCUCCUGGAUUCAGCGGCGGACGGGUGAGUAAUGCCUAGGAAUCUGCCUGGUAGUGGGGGAUAACGUCCGGAAACGGGCGCUAAUACCGCAUACGUCCUGAGGGAGAAAGUGGGGGAUCUUCGGACCUCACGCUCUCAGAUGAGCCUAGGUCGGAUUAGCUAGUUGGUGGGGUAAAGGCCUACCAAGGCGACGAUCCGUAACUGGUCUGAGAGGAUGAUCAGUCACACUGGAACUGAGACACGGUCCAGACUCCUACGGGAGGCAGCAGUGGGGAAUAUUGGACAAUGGACGAAAGCCUGAUCCAGCCAUGCCGCGUGUGUGAAGAAGGUCUUCGGAUUGUAAAGCACUUUAAGUGGGGAGGAAGGGCAGUAAGUUAAUACCUUGCUGUUUUGACGGUACCAACAGAAUAAGCACCGGCUAACUUCGUG
rnacentral:rRNA from 1 species